UGGAGAAAUACAACUGAGCAGAGGCUUCAAAAAUUACAAUGAAAAAUGUCAGCACACAUGUUGGAAACUGAUAUUGUCACUGGUGCCAUUAUUCAGUGUCAUCUUCCAACAAAUGAGGCGGAAAGAGCAGAUGCUCAUGUACAUGAUCCCAGCCGUCUAUACACCCACAUUAUUCCUAGGCAACUUUCAAAACCCAUUAGUCCAGAUAUUAUUAUUAUUAUUUUAUUAUUUAUAUAGCGCCAUCAGAUUCUGUAGUGCUGUACAAUAUCUCUCCA